rnacentral:ribozyme from 12 species
GACAGAAAAACACAAAAAAAAAAAAGAAAAGAUAAAAAGAAAAAUGAUACGAAUAUAUAUGUAUGUGCAAGGAAUACGGUAUUCAAGUGACUUUUAGGUUGAUUUCUUUGUUCUUUGU